GACAGAGGUCCCGAGCGUUAGGCGGAAUCACUGGGCUUAAAGCGUGUGUAGGCGGAUCGUUAAGUGCCUUGUGAAAUCCCAUGGCUUAACCAUGGAACUGCUUGGCAUACUGGCGAUCUUGAGCCACUUAGGGGCAACCGGAACAAAUGGUGGAGCGGCGAAAUGCGUAGAUAUCAUUUGGAACGCCAAUGGUGAAAACAGGUUGCUGGGAGUGUGCUGACGCUGAGACACGAAAGCCAGGGGAGCGAACGGG
rnacentral:rRNA from 1 species